AGAGCUGGAAUGGGUCAUAGGACCACAAUUAUAUAGUUGUGUACCAUUGCUACUGCAAACCUUAUAUGGGAUGUCAUUGCUGGAGCCAUCUAACAUGGAAGGCUAAUAAAGAUAACAAAGAAAAGAAAGGUCUCUAACCUAGAGAGAACCAUUAUCAAAUUAUACAACAAGGGGAACUGAAUGCUGGAGAAAGAUGUAGGAUCGAUGCCUUUGGAGAAGGAAGUUAUCCACAGAACAGGUACAGCCAGGGUGCAGCUGUGCAAGCAUCACUCCACUGCCCUGCCAAUGUGCCUCAACUCUGAACUGGAAGGAGAUGAGGCAAACGUGAAAUGACUCACCAGACUCAUCUUCUGAGGUAGAACCACUUUCUCCAGAAGUGGUGUGAAGAAG